GAUAAACGCUAGCGGCAGGCUUAACACAUGCAAGUCGAGGGGCAGCAUAGAUUGUAGCAAUACAAUUGGUGGCGACCGGCGCACGGGUGCGUAACGCGUAUGCAACCUACCCGUCACAGGGGGAUAAUCCGGAGAAAUCUGGUCUAAUACCCCAUAACAUAUGGAUCGGCAUCGGUUCAUGUUGAAAUUUUCGGAGGUGACGGAUGGGCAUGCGUAGCAUUAGCUUGUUGGUGAGGUAACGGCUCACCAAGGCGACGAUGCUUAGGGGGACUGAGAGGUUUUCCCCCCCCACGGGUACUGAGACACGGACCGGACUCCUACGGGCGGCAGCAGUGAGGAAUAUUGGUCAAUGGGCGCAAGCCUGAACCAGCCAUGCCGCGUGCAGGAUGACGGCUCUAUGAGUUGUAAACUGCUUUUGUACGAGGGUAAAGUGGGUUACGUGUAACCUUUUGAAAGUAUCGUACGAAUAAGGAUCGGCUAACUCCGUGCCAGCCGCCGCCGUAA
rnacentral:rRNA from 1 species